GCCCGCGUAGCUUAAAUUUAAAGCUUAACACUGAAGAUGUUAGAAUGGGCCUUAAUAAAGCCCCGCAAGCA
rnacentral:tRNA from 1 species